CCCUUAGAUGUUCUGGGCCGCACGCGUGCUACACUGAACGGUUCAAUGGGUAAGGUAGUGCGAAAGCAUGACCUAAUCUCGAAAUCCGUUCGUGCUGGGGAUAGAAGCUUGCAAUUAUCCUUCUUGAACGAGGAAUACCUUGUAAGCGUGAGUCAUCAUCUCACGCUGAAUACGUCCCUGCCCUUUGUACACACCGCCCGUCGCUCCUACCGACUGAGUGUUCCGGUGAGGCUUUGGGAGAAUGGCCUCAACAUGAGUUUAUCGUGUUUUGCCGUUUGAACUUAGUCAAACCUUAUCACUUAGAGGAAGGAGAAGUCGUAACA
rnacentral:rRNA from 1 species